UCAACGGAGAGUUUGAUCCUGGCUCAGGACGAACGCUGGCGGCGUGCUUAACACAUGCAAGUCGAACGGUGACGAAGAGCUUGCUCUUCUGAUCAGUGGCGAACGGGUGAGUAACACGUGAGCAACCUACCCUUGACACUGGGAUAACAGCUGGAAACAGCUGCUAAUACCGGAUAUGAACUCAGCAGGCAUCUGCCGAGUUGGAAAGCUCCGACGGUCAAGGAUGGGCUCGCGGCCUAUCAGCUUGUUGGUGAGGUAACGGCUCACCAAGGCGACGACGGGUAGCCGGCCUGAGAGGGCGACCGGCCACACUGGGACUGAGAUACGGCCCAGACUCCUACGGGAGGCAGCAGUGGGGAAUAUUGCGCAAUGGGCGAAAGCCUGACG
rnacentral:rRNA from 1 species